AUGUGGCAGAUAAAUGUUUUAAAUUUAAGAUUUAAAUAUAAAUGAAAUUUUUCUUUAGAA
rnacentral:tRNA from 1 species